AAUUUAAAGUGAAAUUAAACUUUAAAAAUAAAUUUAAAUAUUAAAGUUAUGAUCAAAUAUAACCUCUUAGCUAAGCUCUACACUUUUGGUGACAUCCGAAUUUUUUGUGCCGAAGUCAAAAAAGUAAGAUUUAGUUAUAACUCACUUUAUCGGCCAACUUUCGUAAAGUGACUUUUAUAUUCACUUUCAUAAACUAAACAACCGAUAAGACAUCAUUUUCUAAAUGUAUCACUUUCGAUAGUACACUUUCGGCGAACCAAACAUGCCCUAAGGGAUAGUGGGGCCACAUCUCCAGAUUAAAGGGAUGAUGAUCUAUCCAUAGAAAAAAAAAAUGAUGAAAUAAAAAAUUCAAUUAAUUUGAAAAAAUAAAAAAAAAAUUGUUGGGACCCACACUCCAAAUUAAGGAGGUUGGGCGACGUCAGCUUUAAGGACAUUAGGAUUCAUAAUUUUAUAUAGAUAUAGAUAUAGAUAGAUAGAUAGAUUUUUAUAUAU
rnacentral:lncRNA from 1 species